rnacentral:rRNA from 1 species
UACGAAGGGGGCUAGCGUUGCUCGGAAUUACUGGGCGUAAAGCGCACGUAGGCGGCUUUCUAAGUCGGGGGUGAAAUCCUGGAGCUCAACUCCAGAACUGCCUUCGAUACUGGAAAGCUCGAGUCCGGGAGAGGUGAGUGGAACUGCGAGUGUAGAGGUGAAAUUCGUAGAUGAUUCGCAAGAACACCAGUGGCGAAGGCGGCUCACUGGCCCGGUACUGACGCUGAGGUGCGAAAGCGUGGGGAGCAAACAGG